UUCGGGGCCGAUGUCGAUGCUAGUAGAACUAGUAUUUAGUUAAUCAUCAUGCACAUCAAUGGAUGAACUAUCAUAUGGAUAUAACGAUUAUCUAAACAAUUUGCAUUUAUAAAAUAAGUGUAAAUAAUUUAACCAGUGUGGUCAACGUAGGACUGAUUUUCAUGCAAGAUUUAGCAAUUAAUGCUAUCGUUGCUCGUCCAUACCUACAGUGAAAGUACUAUGGUCAUUCAAACCCAUGCCAACAUUAGAAGUUUAAUUUUCUUAGCAAAUUGCUUAUUUAAGUAUAUUUAUAUUUAAAAAAAUGUCUUCUAUUUAUAGAUUUUUAGCCAGGAUAAAUCCAGUGAACACAAAAUGCAGAGGCACAUUUCAGCAGAGCCAUAACAGUGGCAGGAUGGUGCAACGCAAAAACAGGGCCCUGAAUCCACAUGUUCAUCAAAGAAUUCACCAAUUAUGACUGGGUGAAUUAUUAGAGUUGGUGUUUAUCUACAGUUGUUCGAGUUUACAGCAUGCUGAUGACUAUUGUUCUUUUGGUUAAUAAAGAUUGUUUAGCUACAGUUGUUCGACUUUACAGCGUGCUGACGACUAUCACUCUUUCGGUUAAUAAAGAGACUUGGAGGAACCCCAGCCCACACCCAGGAGAAUGCUGCCAAAGAACAAGAGGGCCAUAAUGAUCCUUACACCGAUCAAAUUCCGUCCUCGGGCCAUCCUGACCUUCCUGGUCAACAGCACCGGCAGCAGGCACCGUUCGCCCCACACAAAAUCGUCCAGCGUAAAGGGUCCGUCUUAUAGGCGUCGCAUAAGAUAAAUGUACACACCGCUGGGCAUCGCCAAAGCCACAAAGGUUAAGGCAAGGGUCCAAAAGGCCUUAAAGACUCGAUCAUUCACCGGCAAAUGAUCAAUUGUUGUACAUUUUCAUUGUUGUGUUUGAAAUUUGUUCAGACAUGUAAAUAGUUAAUUGUUCCUGAUUUUGCCUAAAUGUUUGAUGUUUUCAUGUUGUGUUUUUAAAUUGUUCAGAUGUUCAAUUGUUCUAUGAUGUUUCGUGUUCAGUUUUUUUAUUUGAUUCACUUGUAAAUAGUUUAAUUUGAAUCCACUUUAUGUUUAAAUUGCUGUUUGGUUACUUUUUGUUUUAAUAAAU